rnacentral:rRNA from 1 species
UGACCUGCCUCAGAGUGGGGGAGUAACGACCCGAAAGGGUCGCUAAUACCGCAUAACAUCCUGCGCUUGGAUGCGCGGAGAUCAAAGCCGGGGAUUCGCAAGAACCUGGCGCUUGGAGAGGGGCCCGCGGCCGAUUAGCUAGUUGGUGAGGUAACGGCUCACCAAGGCGACGAUCGGUAUCCGGCCUGAGAGGGCGGACGGACACACUGGGACUGAGACACGGCCCAG